rnacentral:tRNA from 1 species
GCGGGUGUGGCGGAAUUGGCAGACGCGUACGGUUCAGGUCCGUAUGGGCUCCGGCCCAUGAAGGUUCAAGUCCUUUCACCCGCACCA